rnacentral:tRNA from 1 species
CCCUUGUUAGUAUAGAGGUCAGUAUACCCGCUUGUCACGCGGGCGACACGGGUUCGAUUCCCGUACAGAGAGA